GUUAGUGUGGCAGAGAUAGGUCAUGCAAAAGGUCUAAGCCCUUUCAACUUGGGUUCAAAUCCCCUCUCUAACU
rnacentral:tRNA from 1 species